CGCCCCUCGUGUCCUCGCGGGCCGUGGAGGGACGCACCCGCGCCCUGCGCGGCUCGCAAACGAACCCCGGCGCGAGAAGCGCCAAGGAAAUUGAGUACUAGGAGCGCGCCCCCUAAGCCUCGGCGUCAGGGGCGCGCCUUCUUCUGGUGAUAAUCUAAACGACUCUCGGCAACGGAUAUCUCGGCUCUCGCAUCGAUGAAGAACGUAGCGAAAUGCGAUACUUGGUGUGAAUUGCAGAAUCCCGUGAACCAUCGAGUCUUUGAACGCAAGUUGCGCCCGAGGCCUCCUGGUCGAGGGCACGUCUGCCUGGGUGUCACGCAUCGUCGCCCCCUCUCCCCUCGGCUCACGAGGGCGGGGGCGGAUACUGGUCUCCCGCGCGCUCCCGCUCGCGGCUGGCCCAAAAUCGAGUCCCCGGCGACGGUCGCCACGACGAGCGGUGGUUGAGAGACCCUCGGACACUGUCGUGCGCGCGCCCGUCGCCCCCGGGAUCUCCUGGACCCUCGGGCAUCGACCUUCUAGGAUGCUCUCGUUGCGACCCCAGGUCAGGCGGGACUACCCGCUGAG
rnacentral:rRNA from 1 species